UUUUCUGCAAAGAUUUUCCGAAAUUGCGAUUAGUACGCGAGUGAUCAUCAGUGAAUGCGUUUAAUCGUGACAUUUUAUUAUUCGUUUCUCGUGGUAAUUAAUUUAUAUUCGUGGGCUACUUUUGUUUAAAAUUAUGGAUUGCGAAAUGUGUUCUACCGAUAGAGAAAACUGAGCUACAAUAUAUCUUCAACUAUUGAAAGAUCGUUGCUACUUGUUGCUUCCGCGAGUACGUUCGUGACUCUUGAUUUUACUUUUCGUCCUUGAUCCUGCUGAUCCUCUGCGAAGAAAAUUCCGGGAAAAUGCCGAGUCAGUAAAUGCUAAGUGGUCAAAUUUUCAAGAUUAUUGUGAGAAAACAAUCAUUCGAAUGUGCAAUGCUGAGAAGAUUUUGGAAGUGAAUCGAAAAUGAUGCUGAAAUUAUGUCAGAAUGCGGAAAAUGCAAAUUCAAUUACUUAAUGGGCCUGAAUCAGUACCUUUACUUAAUUGAAGGAUAACGUCCAUGGAUGAGCUGCUCCCGGGAUAAGUUCUCCGGUUAACGAAUAUUACGACGAAAACAAUGCGCCGCGGCGGUAUUCAGGCAGCAAAAAAGCACCGACGAUUUUACAAGUAGCUCGACGUCAUCAUCGCAAUUUCCUUGUUUUUUUUUCAUCGCUCGCUGCUUCGUUUUCCAGCCAAAUCAUUAUCCCACAUUUCGCUCUGGAUUAUUUGAAAAGAAGAGAAGAAAGUUAUUUCAUAUGCUAAUCACGCUAUUCAAAACACGAUUAUACGAAAAAGCAAAUUAACCUUUCACGACCCACAGUAGUACGAGGAAUUGGCCGGCCAAGAUAAACCGUUACCGUUGCAUUGUAAUGCGAAAUUUCGCCUCGACCAACAGACUAUAAACACCCGUUAAUAAUCCAAUUUCGCCGUUUCCGAAGCCUCAAUGACCAUAGUAAAGCUGCGGAAAUUUAAGUUUCCUGAUGGUAAUUCAAGACAGAACAGUGUUAAAAAAUUCUGUAAAAAUUUUGCAAUUCCACUUAAUACAGUCCAAACUGUCAAUUUCCAUUAAAUUGAUGAACGAAACAACAAAAUUCACACCGCUAGCUAGAGGUAACCCGAGUGUAUAACCGAAAUGGUACGUUUUACCGGUGACUUUUCAACUUGACGCCACACGACCGACGACGCGACGCUAUUUAAUGGAAACUUGGUCAAAUUUUAGGUCACGUAUGGCUUGGUAACAGAUGUACUAUUGUGCUUUAGCGACCAAAAUGAUGCUGUUUCGAGAUCCAGUCUGUCCAGAUAAUUUAAAAUAUAUGAAGAUUUUGAUCCAAGUUCCCACGCAUUCAGAAAACCAUGUUCGAGUCUCCACUUCGCAUCGCAUAAUUCAUCGUUGCGGUUCAUCGUCACUUGUCUUAAAAAUACAGUAGAAUGGUUGAUGGGAAGUCCAGCUGGCUUGAAAUUGUACUGUCCUUUGAAUAGCAUACUUGGAUCGUUUUGCCAAUUUCAUAUAUCUGUAUGGUGGACA